rnacentral:lncRNA from 1 species
AGUUCUACUGAUGAGACUUGAUCUGAACCUUAUUAAAGACCUGUUCUUGAUGUAUAAGUGAAAUACAUUUAAAUAUAUACAGUAAUUCCUGUGGGGUUCAAUCAGACCUAAGUUGGUCCUCAGGAGUCCUGUACUUUGUGUAUGUUUACAAAGGAAAUUUUAGAGCUCUCAGUGCUCAUUUAUUGUGGUUUUUUUCACCAAGGAAAAGAACAAAAGAUCUAACAGCACUUGAAGUACUGGAAUAUACCUUAGAAAUUCUCCUGUCAUUAAAUGAAGAGAUUAGAGUGCUGACUGGAGGGAGCUGCACUGUUAGAUCAUCAGAUACAACUUGGCAAGAAAUUAUUCCUCAAGAAAUUGAAAUAAAAGCAAUACUGAGACUUUGAUGGUAGUAGCAACAUCAAUUACAGGAAGAAGAGAGAGCUGGACGGAGUUGUGUAUGUAGCUACUUCUGCAAGAAGCACAGUGGCAUCUGCCUUCCUGUCAGUGUUUUGAUAUCUGUUCUUAUGUCACUUGAUAAGAUAAUGUCAUGACCUUGCUGCAAGUAUGUGUGAAUAGUUCUGCCUCAGUGGAUUUUUUUCUGACUUCUAUUCAGGUUUUCUAUUGAACAAAACCUACACAUUUUCAUUAGUUUGCAAUGUUAAUUGUAAAACUUCUCUGUACAGUGGUAAGUGUAAGGUAUUUUCAGCUAAGGAAAACAUUUUGAAGUUAAAUCAGUAGUAUUCUUAAGUGCAGUAUGCAUGGAAAAUUAUUUUUAAGUGUUAUGCCAUGGUUUAGGAAGGAGAAAAGAGCCAAAGGGUGGGAGGGAACAGCAGGUUAGGGGCUAGAUAAAGUUAUAUAUGUAAAUACAAUUCCAAGAGAAUUCAUUCAUGGUACCAAGAGAGACAGCAGAGUUUGUGUCCAUCAUCUAUGAAAAAUUGUGAUACCCACGGUCUCCAAAAACUGGAAAAAAAAUCUAAUUAUGUUAUGAUGAGAUGAAAUUACAAGAUCCCAAGGAAAUGUAGGCUUCUCCUUGGUCUCUUAUCAGGAAACAUGACCUUUUGGAAUUAAUUUCCAAGCAAGAAGACAAUCAAACUAAUCACCAAGAAUUUACCAGGGCAAAUCUCUCAUGACACAUCUGCUUGCCUUUAUGAAGACAAGAAAAGUAUGUGAGAGGAGAGCAGGGUACUGUACCUUUACUAGUAAGGCUUUUGGCACCUGCUCUUCUGCAGUCUUAUUUGAAAAGAGAGGAACUGUGGGCUGUGCAAUAGGACUGUUACACUGGUUGUAAACCAGCUGGAUUGCCAACCUGCCAAGGUCUGGGUGCAGUAAUCAAUAGCUUGAUGUUCAUUUGGCAGACCCUAGGGUCAGUACUGGAGUUGACAUUACUCAGUAUCUCUAUCAGUGGCCUGGAUAAUGAGGCAGAAUUUACUCUCAACAAAUUUAUGGAUGAUGUUACAUCAGGGAGAAAAAGUGACUGACAGACAUGCCAAAUGGCAGAUUUUCAAUCUAGUAGGACCUCAGUGAAACAAAAAAUGGACCAACAGAAGUCUGAUGUUCAAUAUGAAGAAUACUAAUGCCUCAACUGAGAUACAAAUAACCAUGUAAAUCAGCACAGACUGGAAACUGACUAGUUGAGAAGCAAUCCUGCCAAAGAUGAUCUGAGUGGUCAGUGUAGAUGCCAGACUGCAUAACAUUGUGGUCUCAUUUCAGCUAAGACAAACUGCACAAACCAAGUAAAGUGAGUUACGUCAGGAAGAGCAGGAGCAGUGGAUCGAAGUUAUUGCCCUUGUUGUUUCCCUCUGCCUGUUACUGGUGAGAUCAUGCUGGAAAUUCAUACUAUUUCAGGCCUGCUUUUUAAGAAGGAUGUUGAAAAAAAACCAGGAGAUUGUCAAAUAAAGUUCUGCCAAGAUGGUCA